rnacentral:rRNA from 1 species
CACGCUGUAAACGAUGAAUGCUAGGUGUUAGGGGUUUCAAUACCCUUGGUGCCGAAGUUAACACAUUAAGCAUUCCGCCUGGGGANCAACGCGAAGAACCUUACCAGGUCUUGACAUCCUCUUGAAUAUUCCAGAGAUGGGGUAGGCUUUCGGGACAAGAGAGACAGGUGG